GAAGCUGGGAAAGGGCACACGGAGGAUGCCUAGGCGGCGGGAGCCGAAGAAGGACGUGCUAAGCUGCGAAAAGCCCGGAGGAGGUGCACAGGACCAGAGAUACCGGGAUAUCCGAAUGGGAGAACCUGCAUACCUGGAGGGUAUGCGCGAGAGAGGUAAGCCGGCGAACUGAAACAUCUAAGUAGCCGGAGGAAAAGAAAGUAAAGACGAUUCCCUGAGUAGCGGCGAGCGAACGGGGAGGAGCCUAAACCGUACAGGUGUUAAAGCUGGCAGCGUUGUCUGUACGGGGUAGAGGGAACAUACUGGACCGAAGCCAUAAGGUUGAUUUUAUCAUGAUGUAAGCGGAACGCGGCUGGAAAGCCGGACCGUAGGAGGUGAGAGUCCUGUAGAGCGUAAAGUUAUGAUAGGAUGUAUGGAAUCCCGAGUAGCAUCGGACACGAGGAAUCCGGUGUGAAUCAGCGUGGACCAUAUCACGUAAGGCUAAAUACUUCUACUGACCGAUAGAGGAGAGUACCGUGAGGGAAAGGUGAAAAGAACCCUGAGCAAGGGAGUGAAAUAGAAUUUGAAACCGUGUGCUUACAAACGGUAGGAGCACUUUAUGUGUGACUGCGUGGAUUUUGGUUAAUCAUCCUGCGAGUUAUGAUUAGUGGCAAGGUUAAUAAAGCGGAGCCGAAGGGAAACCGAGUCUCAAUAGGGCGUUAAGUCGCCAGUCAUAGACGCGAAACCUAGUGAUCUAGGCCUGUCCAGGCUGAAGCUGAGGUAAGACUCAGUGGAGGGCCGAACUCACCGCCGUUGAAAAGUUGGGAGAUGAGGCAGGUCUAGGGGUGAAAAGCCAAUCGAACUAGGAGAUAGCUCGUUCUCUCCGAAAUGCAUUUAGGUGCAGCCUUGGCAUUGAGAUAUGUGGGGGUAGAGCUCUGUAUGAUCUAGGGGGCGUACUGCUUACCGAAAUCAAGCAAACUGCGAAUACCAUAUAUUAUGUUCAGGAGUGAGUCCGUGGAUGACAAGGUCCUCGGACGAGAGGGGAACAGCCCAGACCGCCAGCUAAGGUCCCUAAUUAUGUCUAAGUGGGAAAGGAGGUGGAUAUUCACAGACAACCAGGAGGUUGGCUUAGAAGCAGCCAUACCUUGAAAGAGUGCGUAAUAGCUCACUGGUCGAGAGUAUCUGCGCCGAAGAUAUAACGGGGCUAAGACAUGAACCGAAGCCGCGGAAUUAGUUUAUGCUAAUUGGUAGGAGAGCGUUCUGUAGGCCGUAGAAGGGGUGUUGUAAGACAUUCUGGAGGUAUCAGAAGUGAGAAUGCAGGAAUGAGUAGCGAGAAGGAGGGCGAGAAUCCCUCCGGCCGGAAGUCCAAGGUUUCCAGGGGAAGGUUUGUCCGCCCUGGGGGAGUCGGGACCUAAGCAUAAGCAGAGCUGCGAAGGCGAAUGGAAAACAGGUUAAUAUUCCUGUACCGCUGUGUACUGUCUGAGAGAUGGAGUGACGCAGGAAGGUAUGCGGGAAGGCUGACGGAAUAGCCUUUCUAAGGGUGAAGCGUGGACAUAUAGGCAAAUCCGUAUGUUUAAACGUGAGGCCUGACGGGUAAGUACCUUAGGGUAUAAGCCGCAGAUCCUACACUGCCGGGAAAAACUUCUAUUUAGGGAAGCAGCGCCCGUACUGUAAACCGACACAGGUGGACAGAGUGAGAAACUUAAGGCCGACAGGAUAACUCUGGCUAAGGAACUCUGCAAAAUGGCCCCGUAACUUAGGGAGAAGGGGUGCCUGAUAUACCUGAGAGGAGAGACACCUUAAGGGGAAACAGGCCGCAGUGAAGAGUCCCAAGCAACUGUUUACCAAAAACACAGGUCUAUGCUAAGCUGAAAGGCGACGUAUAUGGGCUGACACCUGCCCAGUGCCGGAAGGUUAAGGGGAGGACUGAGAGGUCCGAGCUGAAGCCCCGGUGAACGGCGGCCGUAACUAUAACGGUCCUAAGGUAGCGAAAUUCCUUGUCGGGUAAGUUCCGACCUGCACGAAUGGUGAAAUGAUUUGGGAGCUGUCUUGGCUGGAGACCUGGUGAAGUUGUAAUGCCGGUGAAGAUACCGGUUACCUGCAGUAGGACGGAAAGACCCCGUGGAGCUUUACUGUAGCCUGGCAUUGGGUUUCGGCAAUGUGUGUAUAGGAUAGCUGGGAGGCUAAGAAGAUAUGGCGUCAGCUGUAUUGGAGCCGCUGUUGGAAUACCAGCCACGCAUUGUUGGGAUUCUAAUCUCAUAAGAUGGGAGACAGUGCUAGGUGGGCAGUUUGACUGGGGCGGUCGCCUCCAAAAGAGUAACGGAGGCGUUCAA
rnacentral:rRNA from 1 species